UNUGACUUGAGUGCAGAAGGGGAGAGUGGAAUUCCAUGUGUAGCGGNGAAAUGCGUAGAUAUAUGGAGGAACACCAGUGGCGAAAGUGGCUCUCUGGUCUGUCACUGACGNUGAGGCUUGAAAGCGUGGGUAGCGAACAGGAUUAGAUACCCUGGUAGUCCACGCCGUAAACGAUGAGUGCUAGGUGUUAGGCCCUUUCCGGGGCUUAGUGCCGGAGCUAACGCAAUAAGCACUCCGCCUGGGGAGUACGACCGCAAGGUUGAAACUCAAAGGAAUUGACGGGGGCCCGCACAAGCGGUGGAGCAUGUGGUUUAAUUCGAAGCAACGCGAAGAACCUUACCAGGUCUUGACAUCCCGAUGCUAUUCUUAGGGAUAGGAAGUUACUUCGGUACAUCGGAGACAGGUGGUGCAUGGUUGUCGUCAGCUCGUGUCGUGAGAUGUUGGGUUNNNNNNNNNNNNCGAGCGCAACCCUUAUUGUUAGUUGCCAUCAUUAAGUUGGGCACUCUAGCGAGACUGCCGGUAAUAAACCGGAGGAAGGUGGGGAUGACGUCAAAUCAUCAUGCCCCUUAUGACCUGGGCUACACACGUGCUACAAUGGUCGGUACAACGAGUUGCGAGCCGGUGACGGCAAGCUAAUCUCUGAAAGCCGAUCUCAGUUCGGAUUGGAGGCUGCAACUCGCCUCCAUGAAGUCGGAAUCGCUAGUAAUCGCGGAUCAGCGCGCCGCGGUGAAUACGUUCCCGGGCCUU
rnacentral:rRNA from 1 species